rnacentral:tRNA from 1 species
UCUAAUAUGGCAGAAUAGUGCACUGGAUUUAAGCCCCAAAUAUAAAGCUUAGGCUUUUUUUAGAA